UCAAAUGAUGAAUAACUAUGCGUGAACAAUCUCUGAUUGAUACAAAUAACGCUUGUAUCAAAGGAUUAAAAAACAUGUUGCCUUCCUUCUGAAU
rnacentral:snoRNA from 1 species